GGAGAGGAGAGGAGAGGAGAGGAGAGGAGAGGAGAGGAGAGGAGAGGAGAGGAGAGGAGAGGAGAGGAGAGGAGAGGAGAGGAGAGGAGAGGAGAGGAGAGGAGAGGAGAGGAGAGGAGAGGAGGAAGGUGAAGAUGAGAGGUGAGGAGGAAGAUGAGGAGGAAGGUAAAGAGGAAGGAGAGGAGGAAGACGAGGAAGGUGAGGAGAGGAGGGAGGUGAGGACGGAGGAGAGGAGGAAGGCUGGGAGGAAGAAGAGAAGGAAGGCAAGGAGGAAGGAGAGGAGGAAGAGGAGAGGAGGAAAGCAAGAAGGAAGGGGAGGAGGAAGACGAGGAGAGGAGAGGGGUGAGGAGGAAGAAGAGGAGAGGAGGAAGACAAGGAGGAAGGUGAAGAGGAAGGUGGAGGGGAAGGAGAGGAGGAAGGUGAGGAGAGGAGAGAAGUGAGGAGGAAGGAGAGGAGGAAGGCAAGGAGGAAGGGGAGGAGGAAGAAGAGAGGAGGAAGGCAAGGAGGAAGAUGAAGAGGUAGGUGAGGGCAGGAGAGAGGUGAGGAGGAAGAUGAGGAGGAAGAAGAGAAGGAAGAAGAGGACGGAGAAGAGGAGAGGAGGAAGACAAGGAGGAAGGUGAGGAGGAAGGUAAAGAGGAAGGAGAGGAGGAAGGAGAGGAGAGGAGAGAGGUGAGGAGGAAGAAGAGGAGGAAGGCAAGGAGGAAGGGGAGGAGGAAGAGGAGAAGAGGAAGGCAAGGAGGAAGAUGAAGAGGUAGAUGAGGGCAGGAGAGAGGUGAGGAGGAAGAUGAGGAGGAAGAAGAGAAGGAAGAAGAGGACGGAGAAGAGGAGAGGAGGAAGACAAGGAGGAAGGUGAGGAGGAAGGUAGAGGGGAAGGAGAGGAGGAGGAAGGAGAGGAAAGGAGGAAGGAGAGCAGGAAGGUGAAGGUGAGGAAGAUGAGUAGAGGAGGAAGAAGAGGAUGGAGAAGAGGAGAGGAGGAAGGUGAGAAGGAAGGGGAGGAGGAAGAUGAGAGGAGAGGGGUGAGGAGGAAGAAGAGGAGGAAGAUGAGGAGGGAGAAGAGGAGAGGAGGAAGGCAAGGAGGAAGGCGAAGAGGAAGGUGGAGGGGAAGGAGAGGAGGAAGGUGAGGACAGGAGAGAGGUGAGGAGGAAGGAGAGGAGGAAGACGACAAAGAUGAGGAGGAAGGAGAGGAGGGAGAAGAGGAGAGGAGGAAGGCAAGGAGGAAAGUGAGGAGGAAGGUGAGGAGGAGGAAGGUGAGGAGGAGGAAAGAGAGGACAGGAAAGGAGGAGAAAGGUGAGGAGAGGAGGAAGGAGAGGAGGAAGAUGAGGAGGAAGGAGAGGACGGAGAAGAGGAGAGGAGGAAGACAAGGAAGAAGGCAAAGAGGAAGGUAAAGAGCAAGGAGUGGAGGAAGAUGAGGAGGAAGAAGAGAAGGAAGACAAGGAGGAAGGAGAGGAGGAAGAUGAGGAGAGAGGUGAGGAGGAAGAUAAGGAGGAAGGAGAGGAGGAAGAUGAGGAGAGAGGUGAGGAGGAAGAAGAGGAGGAAGAAGGGAAGGAAGGAGAGGAGGAAGGUGAGGAUGAAGAUGAGGAGGGAGAUGAGGAAGGUGAGGAUAGGAGGGAGGUGAGGAGGAAGAUGAGGAGGAAGGAGAGGAGGGAGAAGAGGAGAGAAGGAAGGCAAGGAGGAAAGUGAGGAGGAAGGUGAGGAGGAGGAAGGAGAGGAGAGGAAAGGAGGAGAAAGGUAAGGAGAGGAGGAAGGAGAGGAGGAAGAUGAGGAGGAAGAAGAGAAGGAAGGCAAGGAGGAAGGAGAGGAGGAAGAUGAGGAGAGGAGAGAGGUGAGGAGGAAGGCAAGGAGGAAGAAGAGGAGGAAGAUGAGGAAGAAGAUGAGGAGGAAGAAGGAGAGGGGAGGAAAGGAGGAGGGAGGUGAGGAGAGGAGAGGAGGAAGGAGAGGAGGAAGAUGAGGAGGGAGAAGAGGAGAGGAGGAAGAUGAGGAGGAAGGCGAAGAAGAAAGUAGAGGGGAAGGAGAGGAGGGAGGUGAGGAGAGAGGUGAGGAGGAAGAAGGGGAGGAAGAAGAGAAGGAAGGAGAGGAGGAAGAUGAGGAGAGAGGUGAGGAGGAAGAUGAGGAGGAAGAAGAGAAGGAAGAGGAGGAAGAAGAGGAGAGAGGUGAGGAGGAAGAUGAGGAGGAAGAAGAGAAGGAAGAGGAGGAAGAAGAGGAGGAAGAAGAGGAGGAGGAAGAAGCAGAGGGGAGUAAAGGAGGAGAAAGGUGAGGAGAGGGGGAGGGAGAGGAGGAAGAUGAGGAGGAAGGCGAAGAGGAAAGUGGGAAGGAGAGGAAGAAGGCGAGGAGGAAGAAGAGGAGGAAGAAGAGAAGGAAGGAGAGGAGGGAGAUGAGGAGGGAGAUGAGGAAGGUGAGGAGAGGAGGGAGGUGAGGAGGAAGAAGAGGAGGAAGACGAGGAGGAAGGAGAGGAGGGAGAAGAGGAGAGGAGGAAGGCAAGGAGGAAAGUGAGGAGGAAGGUGAGGAGGAGGAAGGAGAGGAGAGGAAAGGAGGAGAAAGGUGAGGAGAGGAGGAAGGAGAGGAGGAAGGUGAGGAAGAAGAGAAGGAAGGCAAGGAGGAAGGAGAGGAGGAAGAUGAGGAGAGAGCUGAGGAGGAAGAUGAGGAGGAAGAAGAGAAGGAAGGAGAGGAGGAAGGAGAGGAUGAAGAUGAGGAGGGAGAUGAGGAAGGUGAGGAGAGGAGGGAGGUGAGGAGGAAGAAGAGGAGGAAGACGAGGAGGAAGGAGAGGAGGGAGAAGAGGAGAGGAGGAAGGCAAGGAGGAAAGUGAGGAGGAAGAUGAGGAGGAAGGAGAGGCGGAAGUCACACUGUGCCACCUUCCCUGAGCCGACCUUCCGUGCAGCAGCGCUUCGCCCCCUCCCUGGGAAAGACCCCACGGUGUCUCCAACCCCAUAACCUCCA
ensembl:lncRNA